rnacentral:lncRNA from 1 species
UCUAUUGAGAGUCCCGACUUGACGGAGGUUAUGGAGAACUCGUCAAACCCCAUCAUUAGUCAUAUGCUAGAUUGGCUCGACUCGAGUUCAUUUAUGAAUCUCGUGAAAACUCUUUUUCAGUAUUCACACUUACUUUGGCUAGAGAUUUUCUGAACUUAAUCUUAUGAAUCGUUUAGGACUUCUCCUUUUCUACCAAGAUCGAUAGAUUCUAUCUAGAUGUAUCCUACUCCAAACAACAAAUCUGAAUCUACAUAGCCAACAUACACAGCAAAGAUCCAUAUGGUUAGGAACCAAGAGAUCAUACAGUCAAACUAUAUAGCCUCAUUGUGAA